GCCGAGGUGGCGGAAAUGGCAGACGCGCUAGCCUCAGGAGUUAGUGAGCUUACGCUCAUGGGGGUUCAAAUCCCCCCCUCGGCA
rnacentral:tRNA from 1 species